rnacentral:rRNA from 1 species
CGGCGAGUGAAGCGGCAACAGCUCAAAUUUGAAAUCUGGCCCCCCGCGGGCCCGAGUUGUACUUUGGAGAGGACGCUUCUGGCGCGGCGCCGUCCGAGUUCCCUGGAACGGGACGCCGGAGAGGGUGAGAGCCCCGUACGGGCGGCCGCCUAGCCUCUGCGAAGCUCCUUCGACGAGUCGAGUAGUUUGGGAAUGCUGCUCAAAAUGGGAGGUAAAUUUCUUCUAAAGCUAAAUACCGGCCAGAGACCGAUAGCGCACAAGUAGAGUGAUCGAAAGAUGAAAAGCACUUUGAAAAGAGGGUCAAACAGUACGUGAAAUUGUUGAAAGGGAAGCGCCUGUGGCCAGACUUGCGCCCCGCGGACCACCCGGCGCCUCGCGCGCCGGGGCACGCCAGCGGGGCGCAGGCCAGCAUCGGCUCUCUCGGGGGGACAAAGGCCGCGGGAACGUAGCGCCCUCGCGGCGUAUUAUAGCCCGCGGCGCCAUGCCCCCGGGGGGGCCGAGGACCGCGCUCCGGCAAGGAUGCUGGCGUAAUGGCCACCGGCGACCCGUCUUGAAACACGGACCAAGGAGUCAAGCAUUGGGGCGAGUGUCUGGGUGGCAAGCCCGCACGCGGAAUGAAAGUGAACGCAGGUGGGAGCUUCGGCGCACCACCGACCGAUCCUGAUGUCCUCGGAUGGAUUUGAGUAGGAGCCCCGCCGCUUGGACCCGAAAGAUGGUGAACUAUGCCUGUAUAGGGUGAAGCCAGAGGAAACUCUGGUGGAGGCCCGCAGCGGUUCUGACGUGCAAAUCGAUCGUCAAAUAUGGGC